UACAGAGGGUGCGAGCGUUGUUCGGAAUUACUGGGCGUAAAGCGCGCGUAGGCGGCUUUGUAAGUUAGAGGUGAAAGCCCAGGGCUUAACCCUGGAAUUGCCUUUAAGACUGCAUCGCUAGAAUCGUGGAGAGGUGAGUGGAAUUCCGAGUGUAGAGGUGAAAUUCGUAGAUAUUCGGAAGAACACCAGUGGCGAAGGCGACUCACUGGACACGUAUUGACGCUGAGGUGCGAAAGCGUGGGGAGCAAACAGG
rnacentral:rRNA from 1 species